rnacentral:rRNA from 1 species
UACAUGGGGUGCAAACGUUGCUCGGAAUUAUUGGGCGUAAAGCGCGCGUAGGCGGUUGUCUAAGUUGGAUGUGAAAGCCCUCGGCUUAACUGAGGAAGUGCACCCAAAACUGGACAGCUGGAGUACGAAAGAGGGUCGCGGAAUUCCCGGUGUAGAGGUGAAAUUCGUAGAUAUCGGGAGGAACACCGGUGGCGAAGGCGGCGACCUGGGUCGAGACUGACGCUGAGGCGCGAAGGCCAGGGGAGCAAACGGG